AAUAAUAAAUUAUCACAAUCGUUGGUUGUGGAAUUGGGCUCUUAUUUCGAAUAGAUUUAUGGCCUUAAAUUUAUGCCAUGUGCUUAAUUCGAAUCAAACGGAGCAAUUAAACAUUCUCUCGUUAGACGGAUUACUCACAAGCCAUUAUGAUUUUUUGGACGAUAAAGCACUUCGAGUGCGAAGCCCCAAAGUCAUAAAAUUCAUUGAC
rnacentral:misc_RNA from 1 species